GGCUCGAUAGCUCAGUUGGUUAGAGCGACGGAUUCAUAACCCGUAGGUCGGCAGUUCGAAUCUGCCUCGAGCCA
rnacentral:tRNA from 1 species